rnacentral:rRNA from 1 species
GACGAACGCUGGCGGCGUGCUUAACACAUGCAAGUCGAGCGGUAAGGCCUUUCGGGGUCCACGAGCGGCGAACGGGUGAGUAACACGUGGGUGAUCUGCCCUGCACUUCGGGAUAAGCCUGGGAAACUGGGUCUAAUACCGGAUAUGACCUCCUAUCGCAUGGUGGGUGGUGGAAAGAUUUAUCGGUGCAGGAUGGGCCCGCGGCCUAUCAGCUUGUUGGUGGGGUAAUGGCCUACCAAGGCGACGACGGGUAGCCGACCUGAGAGGGUGACCGGCCACAUUGGGACUGAGACACGGCCCAGACUCCUACGGGAGGCAGCAGUGGGGAAUAUUGCACAAUGGGCGAAAGCCUGAUGCAGCGACGCCGCGUGAGGGAUGACGGCCUUCGGGUUGUAAACCUCUUUCAGCAGGGACGAAGCGCAAGUGACGGUACCUGCAGAAGAAGCACCGGCUAACUACGUG